UUCUUCAAAAAAUUAACUAAAAAAGAUUAAUUAAUUAGAAGGAAUUCAGCAAAUUUAAUUGCUCCGCCUGUUUAUCAAAAACAUGGCUCUUUGCUUAAUAAAUAUAAAGAGUCGAGCCUGCCCAGUGAAUCUUUCAACGGCCGCGGUACUCUGACCGUGCAAAGGUAGCAUAAUCAUUUGCCUUAUAAUUGAAGGCUAGUAUGAAUGGUUUGACGAGAGCAAUACUGUCUCCUUUUUAUUUUCAAGAACUUAACUUUUAGGUGAAGAGGCCUAAAUUUUAUUGAAGGACAAGAAGACCCUGUCGAGCUUAAAAGAAACUAUAGAGGUUUAAUAUAUUUUUAGAUAAAUUUUCUAUUAAGCUUUUUAGUUGGGGCGACUAAGGAACAAAAAAAGCUUCUUUCUAACAAUAAACAAUCACGUUUAGAUCCGAUAGUAGCGAUUAAAGGAAUUAGUUACCGCAGGGAUAACAGCAUAAUCUCUCUUAAGAGACCUAAUCGAAAGAGGGGGUUGUGACCUCGAUGUUGGACUAGAAUAUCCUAAAGAUGC
rnacentral:rRNA from 1 species